GUUCAAAUGAGAGGAGAGCUGUUUGGCGCUCCCUUUGACAAGGAUGGAAGUCAGCCUUUCCCGGAAUGACAGUAUAAAUACUAAACAUCUGCACUUUCUACUUCAUAUUUGU